rnacentral:lncRNA from 1 species
GUGGAGAACUUCCUACCAAAGACAAGGGAAAACUAAGGCUUCAAGAGUUUGAUUUAAGCUUGUUAGAGCUUAUGUUUAAGGUAAGUGUUCAUAAAUCCUCUUACCUUGUUUAAAUUUUUGAUUUUGUGAAGUUUAUACUAUUUUGUGAAAAUUGGAAAUUUUAUAUGAAAUAAUUUGAUUAUUGAAUUUUGGUGGUAUACAUGUGUUCUUGGGAGAUUUCUAAGCAUGCUUAUAUGUUGAAUUGAUAAGGAAAACAAUUUCUUCUUCAUUCUUCAAGAGUGGCAGAACCUGAUGAGUAUUGAGUAUGUGGUAGAAAUCUCUACCUUGUAUAUGAUUUAAGUAAGCUGAAAUUAGGACAAAAUGUUAAUGGGUGUGUUUAAGGACUGUUUUUCUAUUCGUUUUAUUUUCCCUCUGUAUUUGAGUCCUUCAUAAAAGUUGUAGGUAUAUUUCUUAACUUUUCAACCCAUCCUCUUGUGUCCAAUCUUGAUAUAUAUAGCUCAACUUAUGACUAAAACACCUAAACUGACUCUGUUAUGACGGGCUACAUGCAUCACUGAAUUGAGUGCCCCUUUUGACCACCAUAAUGAUAAGAUUAUGUUCUGAGUUCUUCAUGAGAGUUGUUGCCCUGUGUCUUGAGACUUCUCUGGUUUUGGAUUGN